rnacentral:rRNA from 1 species
UACGUAGGGUGCAAGCGUUACUCGGAAUUACUGGGCGUAAAGCGUGCGUAGGUGGUUCGUUAAGUCUGAUGUGAAAGCCCUGGGCUCAACCUGGGAAUGGCAUUGGAAACUGGCGAACUAGAGUGCGGUAGAGGGUAGUGGAAUUCCCGGUGUAGCAGUGAAAUGCGUAGAGAUCGGGAGGAACAUCCGUGGCGAAGGCGACUACCUGGACCAGCACUGACACUGAGGCACGAAAGCGUGGGGAGCAAACAUG